GUGUCCGCUUUGACAGCACAUAUACUAAAAUUGGAACGGUACAGAGAAGAUUAACAUGGUCCCUGCGCAAAGAUGACACGCAAAUUCGUGAAGAGUUCCAUCGAUAA
rnacentral:snRNA from 1 species